AAAGAUUUCUUCGGAAUGAAUUUGAUUAAGUUUAGUGGCGGACGGGUGAGUAACGCGUGAGUAACCUGCCUCUAAGAGGGGAAUAACAUUCUGAAAAGAAUGCUAAUACCGCAUAACAUAUAUUUAUCACAUGGUAGAUAUAUCAAAGAUUUAUCGCUUAGAGAUGGACUCGCGUCCGAUUAGUUAGUUGGUGAGGUAACGGCUCACCAAGACUGCGAUCGGUAGCCGGACUGAGAGGUUGAACGGCCACAUUGGGACUGAGACACGGCCCAGACUCCUACGGGAGGCAGCAGUGGGGGAUAUUGCGCAAUGGGGGAAACCCUGACGCAGCAACGCCGCGUGAAGGAUGAAGGUCUUCGGAUUGUAAACUUCUUUUAUUAAGGACGAAGAAAGUGACGGUACUUAAUGAAUAAGCUCCGGCUAACUACGUGCCAGCAGCCGCGGUAAUACGUAGGGAGCAAGCGUUGUCCGGAUUUACUGGGUGUAAAGGGUGCGUAGGCGGCUUUGCAAGUCAGAUGUGAAAUCUAUGGGCUCAACCCAUAGCCUGCAUUUGAAACUGCAGAGCUUGAGUGAAGUAGAGGCAGGCGG
rnacentral:rRNA from 1 species